GCUUUUUUUGCUGCACAAUGCUCAUUUUGCUGCUAGUGUCCAUUUAGCAGUUUUUUACUAUGUUUUGGCCUAGUUUUGUUCACGUGUAUAAUAAGCAUCCUGAAUGCUCAUUUAGCAGUGUAUUAAUAACACUGCUAGUUUUGUUCACGUGUAUUCAGAUUAAUACACUGUGUUAUUAAACUGCACAGUGCUCAUCCUGUUGGCUACUUGUCGAUGUUCUCCGCAUAACUAUAGGCUGCCAUGUCUUUUCCACUUUCCUUUUCGCUUUCUGUAAUGCUAACUUGACGGUAACCCUAUAGUUUGUUGGCUGUUGCAACCCAGCAGCGGCGCUUCCAUUUUAACGCAUGUACUAGUGUGCUAAAACUUGCAAAAGACACAAAUCUUGAGCUUUCUUUAUCGGCUUGUUGCUGCUGCUCCUUGUGUACAAUGAUUGAUGUUGCUCUAGUUAGUGUUGCAGAGGAAGAAAGAGGAUGUAUUUAUAUUACUUGCUUCUGCUGCUUAUAUAUAGACAUUAGGCUCGUCCCUGGACCAGAUGUUCAAGUACAGCCCCAUCCACCGCAUCGACCUGGAGUCAGGUGAAUGGAGCUUGUGUUGUUGGUAGAACUCCGUUGAUGACUUCUUCCUAUGUUGAAGAGCAUGUUCCGUGGUAUCCAAGAGUAGAUAGCUUUACACUGGCAGAGCGUUUUAUUUUUCGAUCGCAAUGUUUGUGAUUGUGUGGAAUAUUGUACGGUUAUCUACGUGAAGUUUGAAGUUCCUGGGCAUGCAAUAUUUGAUGGUUAAACUGGUUAUUGUGAUGUGAACGAGUGUAUGGAGUUUCACAUGUUUUGUUCUAUACAUAAUAUAUUGUAAUAAACCUAUUUUGGUUGUUAUUUGAAGAUUUUCAUAUUCUUCUCUUCUUUCUGUUUGAUAUAUACUGCUUAAAAAGCGAUGUGGAUCCACUGCCAGGAAAAAAUCU